rnacentral:rRNA from 1 species
AUUGAACGCUGGCGGCAUGCCUUACACAUGCAAGUCGAACGGUAACAGAUCUUCGGAUGCUGACGAGUGGCGAACGGGUGAGUAAUACAUCGGAGCGUGCCUAGUAGUGGGGGAUAACUACUCGAAAGAGUGGCUAAUACCGCAUGAGAUCUACGGAUGAAAGCAGGGGAUCGCAAGACUUUGUGCUACUAGAGCGGCCGAUGGCAGUUUAGGUAGUUGGUGGGAUAAAAGCUUACCAAGCCGACGAUCUGUAGCUGGUCUGAGAGGACGAUCAGCCACACUGGGACUGAGACACGGCCCAGACUCCUACGGGAGGCAGCAGUGGGGAAUUUUGGACAAUGGGCGCAAGCCUGAUCCAGCAAUGCCGCGUGCAGGAUGAAGGCCUUCGGGUUGUAACCUGCUUUUGUACGGAACGAAAAGCCCUGGGUUAAUACCCUGGGGUCAUGACGGUACCGUGAGAAUAAGCACCGGCUAACUACGUGCCAGCCGCCGCCGUAAAAC